UACGUAGGGUGCAGGCGUUAAUCGGAAUUACUGGGCGUAAAGCGUGCGCAGGCGGUCUAUUAAGACAGGUGUGAAAUCCCCGGGCUUAACCUGGGAACUGCGCUUGUUACUGGCAGGCUUGAGUGUGGCAGGAGGGGGGUGGAAUUCCACGUGUAGCAGUGAAAUGCGUAGAGAUGUGGAGGAACACCGAUGGCGGAAGGCAGCCCCCUGGGCUAACACUGACGCUCAUGCACGAAAGCGUGGGGAGCAAACAG
rnacentral:rRNA from 1 species